rnacentral:lncRNA from 1 species
CGUAUCUGUCAAAUGUACAGUUAAAGGGUUAUUCCGCAUUUUUUGCCGAUACGCACACAUUGGAAUUUCGCUAACUCCUCCGAAGGCUUUCGUUCCACCGGCACCACAUUUGCUCAGGCCAAUCUACACCCCAUGGCCAUUAAAAGUUAUUCAAAUCAUGAUGCUGCACCCCAUGGUUUAGGUUCUAGGGGGCGCCAAAAAUAACCCAAAAAUCCACAUUCUUAAAUGUUUUAUAACUUUUUUUUUUUGUCCUCACUGGCCUCCAAGUUUUCUAGGAUGAUGCAAUGUCCAGCCAUCAACACAUUUGUGAAGGAAUUUUUACUCCCCAAAAGAGCGCCCCCCCAUGGUAGGAGAAAAAAGUCAAUUUUUUCUUGUCCCCUUACAUGAAAAUACACAUUGUUGAGUGUCACGCCUGAACGCUUUGUCAUAUUGACACAAAAAUUGACAAUCAUGUGUAUCUCAAUUAGAUCUACGAAAAAGUCAAACAGCGCGUAUCUGUAUAAUGUACGGUUAAAGGGCUAUUUUGCAUUUUUUGCCGAUUCGCACACAUUGGAAUGUGGCUAUCUCCUCCUAAGGCUUUCGUCCCACCGAUACCAAAUUUGCUAAGGGCAAUCUACACCCCAUGCCCAUUCAAAGUUGUAAAAAUCAUGAUGCUGCACCCCACGGUUUACGUUCUAGGGGGCGCCAAAAAUGACCCAAAAAUCCACAUUCUUAAAAGUCAUUUUGGCCACUGCAGGAGUACAGAGUACUGCAGUUCUAGGGGGCGCCAAAGAUGACCCAAAAAUCCACAUUCUUAAAAGUCUUUUUGGCCACUGCAGGAGUACAGAGUACUGCAGGAUACACACACAUAUACACACACGCCAACAUACACACACACACACACACACACACACACACACACAGACACACACACACACUCAGAGUCUGUUUUUUAGCACCUGCAAAAACAUGCUGUUUACAUAUUUGACAAGAAUGCAGAGGCUUCCUUUUGCCCCUGAAAAAAAUCAAAUUUCAAACACAACUUGACUGUUCAUUUCUCCAAAAGACAACCAUGAAGCUCCAUUUCAAACCUGAAGCAGAUAGUUGGUGCAUGUGUACAGUAACCUGAGGGGAGUAAGGUGACUAUUUCUGAGGAGAACAUGAGCAGUGAAGAUUCACCUUGGAGCUAGAACAGGGACGUGCACAUGAUUAUACAGGGGCAGGGGCUCAAGUUUUUUCCAGUCAUUUAUACAAUAUGGAAAUUAAUGUGAAAUUAAACCACAAAUAUGUGUGAUGAACUGUUUUUAAAACUUAAACUUCAAAUAAAAAUUGUAAACUUCAAAACAUAUGCAAAUUUUUAACAAAGAACAUAGUAAUUUACCUCUAUUUACAUCAAAAUGCAGGCAAUGGCCCAGGCGUUCUUUGUAAAAUUAUUUACAAAACACUGUAUAGUCUCACAAAUGUCACUUUUUAUUUAUGCCACUACAAAAAAACAUGAUGUAAAUGAUGCAUGAUGUAAAACAUGAUGUAAAAAACUUGUGUAGAUCCUCCUCUAUGUCAGCCCAUGUGUAAUUUUUCCAUAAUUCUUUGUUUUUUGCAGCAUUUUUGUUAGUGUAACUGCAGAUUGUGCUGACAGUGUCUAUGGCAAAAAAAAAAAAAACUGAAAAUGCCUCAACAUGGACCCCUGGUGGUCUCUGAGGGUGAAACCUGCUAACUGCUGCAGCUCUGUCAGCUUUAGUCUCCCAUGCAGAGUUCGGAGCGCAUGUGUGGCUCUGCACCCUUAGCAGCGUUGCUAACUCCUCAGUAAGGAAAGCCUGCUUCAUGUCAGAGUCUCUAAACUCCAGAAGAAGUCGAUAAAAGUCCCUUUCUUUCUAAAAAAAAGUCGUUAGGGGGUCUGAAAAGUCAUUGAAUCUAACAACAAAGUCGCUAGGUUUGCAACUACGUGUCCCAGACUGCAUCCCUGCUGAGAGUUCCUCCCUCCCUUCUCAUGUUGCAGGAAGAACGUAAGCGCCCGCCCCUUGUCAAUCAGUCACCAUAUAAUUUUGGAUUGGUUGUUGUGGUGAAGUUUUCCACCAAUAGGAGAGAUGUUGUGGUGUUUUUUUUUUUCUUUGGCAAGCCUUUUCCGCCUGUAAGACCUGUCGCUAAUGUCUGCAUGCUAUGUUUUCCUGUCUCAUACAGCACGAUCGAGCGCCGGACGUGAUCAAAAUAAGCAGAAAAAAAGUAUCGCGGACAUAAUUUAUCAUAACUCUGGUUUUAUUUGGCCUAUCAACACAAUUUGAAAACUGGUGUAUAGUUUGAGGUCCUCACUUUUGAGAUAAGUUGAAACGGAGAGUCAACGAGGCUCCGUCUUGCUGCUACAUCCGGUUAAAUAUGUAAGGUGACUUGAACGCUGAGGAGCGUCCAUCGACUGCAGAGCCAGCAGACAAAGUAGUUGUGGCCACUGAAAGGCACAUAUUUGUCAUAUGCUAUAAUCCUAACAUAUUUUAAUGCUUUUUCUAUUUAAACCUAAUGGAUCUAAGGUUUGACCUUCAAAAUUUAGGAAGAAUAUGUUUUUGCAGUAAUGACCCCGUUAAACAACCAGAGGUCCUUUCCUAAAGUUUAUGGAAAUUUUAGUGAAGGCCUUGGUUUCUUUCCUUGCAAAAUGUAUAGAAAUAAUAAAGCUAAAUUCCAUAAAAUGGUCUUGGCGUAUUAGCAGUGAUAUAAAAUAGUGGUUUGAAUAUGAAUGAACAACAACAACAAAAAAACAUCAACAGAGCCUUUUUGAGUUGGGAUUCUUUCAUUAUCACACAAAAACAGACAUAGACAGACAUCUAAAGGGUAAGGGAAUGAUCAGCCCUCCUAACUCUCAGAUGAAUCUUCAAAAUUCACCUCAGAAAUAUGCUUAUUAUUCUUCUCAGAGUACUGCAGGAUAUACACACACACACUCAGAGUCUUUUUUUAGCACCUGCAAAAACAUGCUAUUUACAUAUUUGACUAGAAUGCAGAGGCCCCUUUUUGCCCCUGAAAAAAAUCAAAUUUCAAACACAACUUGACUGCUCAUUUCUCCAAAAGACAACCAUGAAGCUCCAUCCAAACCUGAAGCAGGCAGUUGGUGCAUGUGUACAGUCACCUGAGGAAAGUGAGGUGACUACUUCUGAGGAGAACAUGAGCAGUGAAGAUUCACCUUGGAGCUAGAACAGGGAUGUGCACAUGAUUAUACAGGGGCAGGGGCUCAAGUUUUUUCCAGUCAUUUAUACAAUAUUGAAAUUAAUGUGAAAUUAAAAAACAAGUAUUAAUAGAAAGGUUAUGACUGUCCUGUGUAGAUGACAGUGAUAUCCAAUAGGCUAGGCACUCACGAGGCUGGCUGUGGCAAGUGUAAGUGAAAGCAACACGCACUGGCAGGAAGAACAGCAAACGCCGAUGAAGGAAAGGGUCUUUGCAGUGAUGGGCGUUACCAGAGAGGGCGAUGGCCAGAGGACGCGAAUGGGACGGGGAGGCAGCGCGUUGGGGGGGGCAGCGCGACACGGCUCGGGCCCGCCAGUGCCCCAACGGGGCCCUAGUUUGUUAUUAUUUUUCCUCCGCUUUAAACUGGAAAAUGGCCCACUUCCCACUGGCGAAAACUCAGGAAAUUUGGCAGGACGACCGGGCCUGGUUAAAAAUUCGAUAUUCUGAAGUCGCCCAAACAAUAAAAUGCAAAAUGGCUCCAUAGCGCCCCCUAAGGUGAAAAUUCACAUGACGGCUAUACGCUUUGUCAAAAUGACACAAAAAUUGACACACACAUGUAUCUCAAUAAGAUCUACAAAAAAGUCAGUGCGGGCGUAUCUGUCAAAUGUAUGGUUAAAGGGUUAUUCCGCAUUUUUUGCCGAUCGACACACAUUGGAAUUUCGCUAACUCCUCCGAAGGCUUUCGUUCCACCGGCACCACAUUUGCUCAGGCCAAUCUACACCCCAUGGCCAUUAAAAGUUAUUCAAAUCAUGACGCUGCACCCCACGGUUAAGGUUCUAGGGGGCGCCAAAGAUAACCCAAAAAUCCAUAUUCUUAAAAGUCUUAUAACUUUUUAUUUUUGUCCUCACUGGCCUCCAAGUUUUCUAGGAUGAUGCAAUGUCCAGCCAUCAACACAUUUGUGAAGGAAUUUUUACUCCCCAAAAGAGCGCCCCCCAUGGCAGGAGAAAAAAGUCCAUUUUUUCUUGUCCCCUAAGGUGAAAAUACACAUUGUUGAGUGUCACGCCUGUACGCUUUGUCAAAAUGACACAAAAUUUGACACACAGGUGUAUCUCAAUAAGAUCUACGAAAAAGUCAGUGCGGGCGUAUCUGUCAAAUGUACGGUUAAAGGGCUAUUUCGCAUUUUUCGGCGAUCCGUACACAUUGGAAUUUCGCUAACUCCUCCGAAGGCUUUCGUUCCACCGGCACCAUUUUUGCUCAGGCCAAUCUACACCCCAUGGCCAUUAAAAGUUAUUCAAAUCAUGACGCUGCACUCCACGGUUUAGGUUCUAGGGGGCGCCAAAAAUAACCCAAAAAUCCACAUUCUUAAAAGUCAUAACUUUUUAUUUUGUCCUCACUGGCCUCCAAGUUUUCAAAGAUGAUGCAAUGUCCAGCCAUCAACACAUUUGUGAAGGAAUUUUUACUCCCCAAAAGAGCGCCCCCCCAUGGCAGGAGAAAAAAGUCCAUUUUUUCUUGUCCCCUAAGGUGAAAAUACACAUUGUUGAGUGUCACACCUAUACGCUUUGUCAUAUUGACACAAAAUUUGACAAUCAAGUG